rnacentral:rRNA from 2 species
UGCUCGAGUGGCGAACGGGUGAGUAACACGUGAGUAACCUGCCCUUGACUUUGGGAUAACUUCAGGAAACUGGGGCUAAUACCGGAUAGGAGCUCCUGCUGCAUGGUGGGGGUUGGAAAGUUUCGGCGGUUGGGGAUGGACUCGCGGCUUAUCAGCUUGUUGGUGGGGUAGUGGCUUACCAAGGCUUUGACGGGUAGCCGGCCUGAGAGGGUGACCGGCCACAUUGGGGCUGAGAUACGGCCCAG